UACGUAGGGUGCAAGCGUCAAUCGGAAUUACUGGGCGUAAAGCGUGCGCAGGCGGUUUUGUAAGUCUGUCGUGAAAUCCCCGGGCUCAACCUGGGAAUUGCGAUGGAGACUGCAAGGCUAGAAUCUGGCAGAGGGGGGUAGAAUUCCACGUGUAGCAGUGAAAUGCGUAGAGAUGUGGAGGAACACCGAUGGCGAAGGCAGCCCCCUGGGUCAAGAUUGACGCUCAUGCACGAAAGCGUGGGGAGCAAACAGG
rnacentral:rRNA from 1 species